rnacentral:rRNA from 1 species
GAUGAACGCUAGCGGCAGGCUUAAUACAUGCAAGUCGCGGGGCAGCAGGUCUGUAGCAAUACAGCUGCUGGCGACCGGCAAACGGCUGCGGAACACGUACUGAACCUUCCUUUAAGUGGGGAAUAGCCCAGGGCAACUUGGAUUAAUACCCCGUAAUAUACUGAGGUGGCAUCACCUUAUUAUUAUAGCUCCGGCGCUUGAAGAUUGCAGUCAGGCUGGUUAGGUAGUUGGCGCGGGAACGGCCGACCACGCAUGGGAUCAGUAACUGGUGUGGGGACAAUACCAGUCACACGGGCACGGAGACACGGGCCCGACUCCUACGGAAGGCAGGAGUAAGUAAUAUUGGGCAAUGGACGCAAGUCUGACCCAGCCAGGCCGCGUGGAGGAUGGAGGUCCUCUGGAUUGUAAACUUCUUUUAUAUGGGACGAAAAAGGGUCUUUCUAGAUCAACUGACGGUACCAUAUGAAUAAGCACCGGCUAACUCCGUGCCAGCAGCCGCCGUAAUAC